rnacentral:rRNA from 1 species
AAAUUGAAGAGUUUGAUCAUGGCUCAGAUUGAACGCUGGCGGCAGGCCUAACACAUGCAAGUCGAACGGUAACAGGAAGCAGCUUGCUGCUUUGCUGACGAGUGGCGGACGGGUGAGUAAUGUCUGGGAAACUGCCCGAUGGAGGGGGAUAACUACUGGAAACGGUA